rnacentral:lncRNA from 1 species
GAGACUGCAGGCUUCCUGUAGACAGUGUGGUUUGUGAAUGCUCCUCAAUAGUUGAAACUUGGUACCUCGCUCAGUAAUCACCUGGUAGCUCUCAUUAUUAAGCGCUUUCUGACAUUUGUUUUCAAGCACCGCAAAUGGCUCCACGGAUUCAGCUCUUCACCCGCAGGUCUUUUGGGACUCUGUGUGAACUUCCCAUCAUCUUCACUGAGCCAGAUUGUAUUCCAACCGCUGCGCUGAGCUCCAGAGGGAAGAGGGAGAUGAAAAUGCACAACCCAACCUCUGCAACACGUCACAGACCAGCUGGGAGAAAGAUGGUAAUAAGCCACUGGACAGCAUGACAGAUGAGGAUAGGGGCCAUAAGGACAUUUCAAAAUGCCCCACGGUGUUUUUCUUUUAAAAUUAACUUUAUCAAGGGGUAAUUUACAUAAAACAAAAAUGAAUCUUAAGAAACAGUUUGUGAAUUUUGGCAAAUAUAUAUGCAUAUGUAACCCCCACCACGAUCAAGAUGUACACUAUUUCUGUCAUCUCAGAACAUUUCCCAGUGCCACUUUCUAGAUAAUUUCCUCCACCUCUAAUCUCAGGCAGCCGCUGAU